ACCCGCACAAGCGGUGGAUGAUGUGGUUUAAUUCGAUGCAACGCGAAAACCUUACCCACCUUUGACAUGUACGGAAUCCUUUAGAGAUAGAGGAGUGCUCGAAAGAGAGCCGUAACACAGGUGCUGCAUGGCUGUCGUCAGCUCGUGUCGUGAGAUGUUGGGUUAAGUCCCGCAACGAGCGCAACCCUUGUCAUUAGUUGUUACAUUCAGUUGGGCACUCUAAUGAGACUGCCGGUGACAAACCGGAGGAAGGUGGGGAUGACGUCAAGUCCUCAUGGCCCUUAUAGGUGGGGCUACACACGUCAUACAAUGGAUGGUACAAAGGGUCGCCAACCCGCGAGGGGGAGCCAAUCCCAUAAAGCCAUUCGUAGUCCGGAUCGCAGUCUGCAACUCGACUGCGUGAAGUCGGAAUCGCUAGUAAUCGUGGAUCAGAAUGUCACGGUGAAUACGUUCCCGGGUCUU
rnacentral:rRNA from 1 species